AGGUGGUAAGAUCUGUAAUGCAAUUGGAGAAGGUGAGCCCAUAAUUGUUGAUAAAAGUGAGAUAAAAAGGAGGCGAAAACAGAAAACAAGUGGAAGUUCCAAGAGAAGUAGAACCUAAAACGAUCAAGUGUCAUUUGUAAAUAAAAUAAUAUGGCCCCUUUUGCAAAAAUAAAGGAAAUACUUGGUAGGAGUCGCAUGAAUAGUAGAGGUAAAGAAAUAAAUCAACAAGCCCAGGAUAUUUCGUUCGAAGAUGACUUGGACAGUCUCUUACAAGGUCAAGAAGAAAAUACUAACACUAUUGGAGCUAGCUCUUCUUCAAGUGCUUCGGAAAAGACGAAGAAACUCAAUCUAGCACCUCGAGGAAGAAACAAGUGCAAGAAGGCUGCACAUCUUUCAGCUGGGAAUAAACUUCGGGUAGCCUUUUAUGAAGGUCGAGUAGUGGGUGAUGAUGGAAAUGAAUUCACAAGGUAUAUUGGGAAAAUUGUUCGUAACCCCAAUUUGUGUCCUGUGAGAGUUCACAAAUGGGAAGAUUUGGAGUCAGAUAAUGUAGAACAUAUGUGGGCUGUUUUACAGGAGAAGUUUGAGAGCGAGGAUAUGGAAAAAGAGCGUACCUCUACAAUUAAUCAUAUGAAGGAAAUUUGGAGGAAAUGGCGGGGUCAAAUGUUUCAAGAUCACGUAAAGAACAAGUCCAUGGGAGAAGCUAUAAAGAGGGUGCCAAGGAACAUGGAUAAGUAUGAUUGGGAAUGGCUUGUGAGAGUUCAUUACCAUAGUGACAACUAUAAGAAAAUCGGUGGGAAAAAUUCUAAAAACAGAGGUGCAGUAACCAUGCCACAGCGUACGGGAAGUAAGCCAUUUCGACAAAUAAAGUAUGACAUGGGUGGAAGUUCUGGAAAUCCUCCAAGUUUUGAGAAGUUUUGGUUCGACACUCACAAAACAGGAAAUAUCAUAGACAAGCCCGAAACUGUGGAAAAACAUGAAAUGAUCAAGAAGACAAUUCAAGAAAAUCCAGAGAUGGAGGUAUUUGAUGUUAUAGAAGAAUGUUUUGGGAGGCAAAAUAAAGGAUAUGUGGCUGGGUAUGGUGGUUCUGUCAAGCCUAAGGAUCUAAGAGGACCUCUACCAAACAGAUUUGACCUUGAAAUGAAGUUAAAACAAGCCGGAAAAGUUAAUGAAGUGUUACUGGGAAGAAUAUAACAUGUGGAAGCAGAAAACAGAACCUUCGCUGCUCGUUUAAAUGAAGUUGAAGCAAAAUUUGAGGGAAAACUUCAGGCCAUUCUAGAUGCUUUUGGUGAUGAGUAAGAAUAGCUUAUAUGGCUGAUAUUUGAAGACAAUGGUCAACUGAAUCCCACAGCCGUGGUAAAGUUUGCUCUGUGGCUCAAGAAAAGCCGGUGUUGGAUUCCUUGCUGACUGCUCUCAAGUUUGAAUUUUUAUAUAAUUAGGCUCAAGAAAAGCAGGUGUUGGAUUCCUUGCUGACUGCUCUCAAGUUUGAAUUUUUAUAUAAUUAGGCAUCAGAAAAUUGAUUUGGAUUUUUUGUAUUGAACUGGGGUUGUGUUG